UACGAAGGGGGCUAGCGUUGCUCGGAAUCACUGGGCGUAAAGCGCACGUAGGUCGGAUCGCUAAGUCAGGGGUGAAAUCCUGGAGCUCAACUCCAGAACUGCCUUUGAUACUGGCAUCUCGUAGUUCGGGAGAGGUGAGUGGAACUGCGAGUGUAGAGGUGAAAUUCGUAGAUAUUCGCAAGAACACCAGUGGCGAAGGCGGCUCACUGGCCCGGUACUGACGCUGAGGUGCGAAAGCGUGGGGAGCAAACAGGG
rnacentral:rRNA from 1 species